GCCCAAAUUCGCACGUGCCCGAGGUCGUUCAUGGGAUGCUACAAAGACAUCUCUUAAGGGGCCGCUGCCACUAAAACCGCCAAGGGGCGGGCAGCAGAUCCGUACGGCUUAAAGCAACGACGUAAGAGGGCUUUU
rnacentral:sRNA from 1 species